rnacentral:rRNA from 1 species
GGGCCCGCACAAGCGGUGGAGCAUGUGGUUUAAUUCGAUGAUACGCGAGGAACCUUACCAGGGCUUAAAUGUAAGUUGCAUUAGUUAGAGAUAGCUAUUUCUUCGGACCACUUACAAGGUGCUGCAUGGUUGUCGUCAGCUCGUGCCGUGAGGUGUCAGUUAAGUCCUAUAACGAGCGCAACCCCUGUUGUUAGUUGCCAGCGAGUCAUGUCGGGAACUCUAACAAGACUGCCGGUGCAAACCGUGAGGAAGGUGGGGAUGACGUCAAAUCAUCACGGCCCUUACGUCCUGGGCUACACACGUGCUACAAUGGUCGGUACAGAGAGCAGCCACUACGCGAGUAGGAG